rnacentral:rRNA from 1 species
AUUGAACGCUGGCGGCAGGCCUAACACAUGCAAGUCGAGCGAGCGGCGGGCGGGUGAGUAAUGUCUGGGAAACUGCCUGAUGGGGGGGGAUAACUACUGGAAACGGUACCUAAUACCGCAUACCAUCAGAUGUGCCCAGAUGGGAUUAGCUAGUGGGUGGGGGAAUGGCUCACCUAGGCGACGAUCCCUAGCCGGUCUGAAAGGAGGACCGGCCACACGGGAACGGGGCCACGGUCCAGACUCCUACGGGAGGAAGAAGUGGGGAAUUUUGGACAAUGUGCGCAAGCCUGAUGCAGCCAUGCGGCGGGGUGGAAGAAGGCUUUCGGUUUGUAAAGCCCUUUCAGAGAGGAGGCGUUACUCACAGAGAAAACGCCGGCUAACUCCGUGCCAGCCGCCGCGGUAAUAC